rnacentral:rRNA from 1 species
GGGCUGCAGUCAAGAACCUUUCUCAAUGGGCGAAAGCCUGAAGAAGCGACGCCGCGUGUAUGAAGAAGCUCUUCGGAGUGUAAAAUACUUUUAUAGGGGAACAAUUUUUGAGCGUACCCUAUGAAUAAGGGGCUCCUAAACUCGUGCCAGCAGGAGCGGUAAUACGAGUGCCCCAAGCGUUAUCCGGAAUUACUGGGCGUAAAGCGUCUGUAGGGGGUUUUAAUAGUCUUGUGUUAAAUCCUGGGGCUCAACUCCAGAAUCGCGCAGGAAACGUUAAGACUAGAGGAUGUGAGAGGCUGAUGGAACCUACGGUGUAGGGGUGAAAUCCGUUGAUAUCGUAGGGAACACCAAAGGCGAAGGCAUUCAGCUAGCGCAUUCCUGACCCUGAGAGACGAAAGCGUGGGGAGCAAAAAGGAUUAGAUACCCCGGUAGUC